GAAAGUAAUCAUUCUUGGUGAUACUAGCGUUGGAAAAACCUCAUUGAUCCAAAGAUAUCUUCAUGGAGUCUUUCAAGGAAACACCAUCAGUACUAUCGGAGCAUCUUUCUUUCUAAAGCAGUGGGGACCCUACAAUGUUGCUAUCUGGGACACUGCAGGUGAAGAGAGAUACUCAGGCCUUUCCUCAUUUUACUGUCGGGGCGCUUCAGCAGCUAUUCUGGCUUAUGACAUCUCCCAAGGCAAAUCUCUUCGCGCGCUAAGAGAGCGCUAUAUACAAUUGCUUGA